rnacentral:rRNA from 1 species
AGCAGCCGCGGUAAUUCCAGCUCCAAUAGCGUAUAUUAAAGUUGUUGCAGUUAAAAGCUCGUAGUUGAAUUUCGGAAUCAGUAUGUCGGUCGUGCCUCCGGUAUGUACUGGCGUCACUGGUUCCUCCCUCUGACGAACCAUCAUGCUAUUAAUUUAGUGUGUGGAAAUCAGGACUGUUACUUUGAAAAAUUAGAGUGUUUAAAGCAGGCUCACGCUUGAAUACAUUAGCAUGGAAUAAUGAAAUAGGACGUUGAUCCUAUUUUGUUGGUUUCUAGGAUUGACGUAAUGAUUAAUAGGGAUAGUUGGGGGCAUUAGUAUUCAAUUGUCAGAGGUGAAAUUCUUGGAUUUAUUGAAGACUAACUACUGCGAAAGCAUUUGCCAAGGAUGUUUUCAUUAAUCAAGAACGAAAGUUAGGGGGAUCGAAGACGAUCAGAUACCGUCGUAGUCUUAACCAUAAACUAUGCCGACUAGGGGAUCGGAUGAUGUUAAUUUUUUUAAUGACUCAUUCGGCGCCUUACGG